UCCAUUCAUAAAACUCAAUUUUUUAGAAUCAUACAUGGUUUGGCACUUUUAUGAGAGUUAAAAAGAGAUGGGUACAUAAAUAUGACAACACGGUUGAGUUUCGUCUGUCUUUCUGUCAUUUUACUCCAUCAGUGGCGUGACGGUGGUGUGGUGUUUUUUUAUCAAAAAUUUUAAAAUAGUUAUUUUGUGUAUUUUAAUUUAAAUUUUAAUUUGUAAUAUACGUAGUAAUAUCGAUAAUAUACAAUGUAGGGGCGUUUGCACCAAGUUUUUUAAGCAAAACUUAACACUAUGUUUAGCUUAUUUUCUUGCACUAUGCUUUAAUCUAACUUGAAUUUAUAUUUAAAUUAAGCGGUCAAAUUUCCAGGCUAGUGGUCACUUAACCUAUCUUAGACACAAAAAUAUUGUUUUACGAGGAAGAAUUAUUGUUAUUCCUUUGAGAAAGCUAAAAAAUGUAUUAUGAUACCUCUACGUAAGUUCGAUGAUUACUUUUGAUAUCCUAGACGUCGAUCAGUAGGACAGAGACUUUUAAACGACACUGUAAUAUAUAUCAUUAUUAAUUACCUCGGUUUAAUUGAACAAAAUCUAGAAUAUCAAAAUGAGAGAAACAACAGCAUAACUGCCUUAAAUCAACAACAAUUUUAUAGUAUAUUUGGGUUUCCUGGGAUUAUAGGGAUAGUUGAUGGAACACAAUGUAAGAAAACAUUCACCUGGGGGUAUUGAUGGAGAGGUAUUUAGAAA
rnacentral:misc_RNA from 1 species